GAUGAACGCUGGCGGCGUGGAUAAGGCAUGCAAGUCGAACGGAUCAACCAAUUUGGAAGUCUGAGAUUACAUCAAGGAUGGAAGAGCCGGUUGAUUAGUGGCAGACGAGGUAGUAACACGUAGAUACGCACCCCAAAGUCGGGAAUAAUCCAUCGAAAGGUGGACUAAUACCCGAUAGUCUCUAAGGAGUAAAGAUUUAUCGCUUUGGGAGCGGUCUGCGCAGUAUCAGCUAGUUGGUAGGGUAAAAGCCUACCAAGGCUAUGACGCUUAGGGGAGGUGAGAGCCUGACCCCCACCGAUGGGACUGAGACACGGCCCAUACACCUACGGGUGGCUGCAGUCGAGAAUCUUCCGCAAUGGACGAAAGUCUGACGGAGCGACGCCGCGUGAUGGAUGAAGUGGUUCGCCAUGUAAACAUCUUUUAUGAGCUACUAAAUUUUGAAGAGCUCAUGAAUAAGGAGUUGCUAAACUCGUGCCAGCAGCAGCGGUAAUACGAGUGCUCCAAGCGUUAUCCGGAAUUAUUGGGCGUAAAGGGUGUGUAGGUUGUCUUGUUAGUCAGGUGUUAAAACUCUCCGCUUAACGGAGAAGGGGCAUUUGAAACGGCAAGACUUGAAGAUGCGAGAGGUGAACAGAACUCAUGGUGUAGGGGUGAAAUCCGUUGAUAUCAUGGGGAAUACCAAAUGCGAAGGCAGUUCACUGGCGCACUCUUGACACUGAAACACGAAAGCGUGGGUCGCGAACUGGAUUAGAUACCCAGGUAGUCCACGCCCUAAACUAUCUUCUCUUGCUAUUCGGAGUAUCGACCCUCUGAGUGGCGAAGCUAACGCGUUAAGAGAAGCGCCUGGGUAGUACGAUCGCAAGAUUAAAACUCAAAGGAAUAGACGGGGACUUGCACAAGCAGAGGAUUAUGAGGUUUAAUUCGAUGACAAACGAAGAACCUUACCAGGGUUGGAAAUCUACACGACAUCUCUAUGAAAGUAGAGCUCCGCAAGGCGGGUAGACAGGUGUUGCAUGGCCGUCGUCAGUUCGUGGUUUGAACUGUUCCCUUAAGUGGGGUAACGAACGCAACCCACGUUGCCAGUUAUAUAUGUCUGGCGAGACUGCCCCGUGAAAUGCUCAUGAAGAGUUGGAGAAAGUACAGGCGACUUUUUGCUUUGCAAAAACGAAGACUGUAUUUUCGGAAACUCUCUUCGUGGUAAUUUUACGGGGAGGAAGGCGUGGAUGACGCCAGGUCAGCAUGGCCCUUUGAUACCCUGGGCCACACUCAUAAUACAAUCGCCGCUACAACACGACGCAAUAUCGCAAGAUGGAGCAAAUCGUUAGAAAAGCGGCGCCAGUUCGGAUCGGAGUCUGCAACUCGACUCCGUGAAGCCGGAUUUGCUAGUAAUCGCGGGUCAGCCAUACCGCGGUGAAUACGUUCUCAAGUCUUGUACUCACCGCCCGUCAACUCAAGGGAGUUGGGAAUACCCGAAGUCUGCCCAUGUGGCGGCCUACGGUAAGCUCAAUGACAGGGAGUAAGUCGUAACAAGGUAAAU
rnacentral:rRNA from 1 species